UAGUUUUGGAAUUACACGUUUUUUUUUUAGGUGUGAGUGCGAAAUGCACAGAGCUUCAAAGUUUUGUGUGUUUUUGUCCUUUUUAUGUGUGUGGUUUUGUCGAUUUGUUGUUUACAUCGAUUUGGCGGUAAUUGCUGUUCAUAAACAGCAAUUUUUUAAAAUUUUAGAACAGCAUUCAUUAUUCUCUUGAAAGACGAUUCCCCCAAAUCGAUCGCGUUAAUUCAAAACCACUGAUGUUGAGCACGCUCAGAAUCCACACGUCUCUUCGCUUUGUGGAACCGACACGCCGACAAAAUGCACCUCAAGCUGCUGUUCUUUUGCCUCCUCGGCACAGGUAAAACAUCGCUACUACCCCACGAGUCUUUUUGCUAACACCAUCUAGUGAGCCUCACAGGAUUCGGGAGAAACGGCCUAACUGAUGGUUAAUAAAUAAUUUAACAAUUGGUGAUUAUUCAUUAACAAGAGGAGAUUAAUUCCCUGGUUGGUACACAGAUAAACAUGCUGUCGAUGAAACAUUGAAACAUUCUAAGACAUUAAGUGUGUUAAAAGUGUUCAUUAUAGAAACAGAUUCAGCUCCAGACGACGAAAAAAUUGGAAAUUUAAAGCAGCAAAUGUUGGACUUGUUGUGAUCUCUGAAUCCAAAAUAUCAGCAGAGUCCUCCAACGUCAUAAAGGGAAGAUUUGAAUAAAACAGUAAGAAGGAAAUGAUGUGUGACCGAUGUUCACAUUUACCUUCCUCGGUGACAAAUAACUUUCUCUACCGAGAAUUACCUUUUAUUAGUUUGAACGAGGACAUGGCUUCAAGGUCAUAAAGGUUAUGGUGUUUGUUUUCAGGGAUAGUCAAGCUGUGGCCCUAUUUGGUCAAUGAUUAUGUUUAUUAUCUUUGACAUUGUCCCUAUGUUUAUGGAAACCACUAUAUUUAGUGAGAAACACUAUUUCUUAAUUGCUCCAUUAAAACUGUUCAUCAUCAUUACCUGAAAAGACUAUUUUGCAACACAUCUGAAGUCACAGCAAAUACAGCAAAUUUUAUGGAAAUCAAAAAAACGACCUGAGGCUAUUCUACACAUUUCACAAAAUAAAAGCUCAGAUUACAUCAGUUUCUACCUGCAUUUGUGGAAAUCUAGGUCCAAGUUAACAAGCAUUUUCAAUUUAAUAUCAUACAGGGAACAUUUUCAUUAUUCGCCUUCAACCCUUCUGUCUUUGCUUUUACGAACAGUCACCCGGUGUGGAGCACAGGAUGAACCAUUUGUUCCGUAUUCAUCCUCACCGAGUCCAUCUCCCCCGGAUUCAUCCUCACUGAGUCCAUCUCCCUCGGAUUCAUCCUCACCGAGUCCAUCUCCCUCGGAUUCACCCUCACCGAGUCCAUCUCCCUCGGAUUCAUCCUCACUGAGUCCAUCUCCCUCGGAUUCAUCCUCUACGAGUCCAUCUCCCUCGGAUUCAUCCCCAUCAUUGAGUCCAUCUCCCUCAGAUUCAUCCCCAUCAUUGAGUCCAUCUCCCUCGGAUCCAUCCCCAUCGAGUGCAGCCCCAUCCAGUCCGAACCCCACUGAAGGAACGCCUGCCCCCCCGGUCGCAACCACUCCUGCUCCAGAGGAAGGCCUCUCGUCUGGAGCCAUAGCCGGCAUCGCCGUCGGCUCCAUCGCGGGGGUGGCAGCUAUUGGUGGAGGUAUCUUCGGCGCGCUGAAGUUCACUGGGAGGAUCUGAGGUCACAUGCUGACCCGUUCAACGAGACAACGGGAAGAUAUUCAUGUCUGAAAGGCUCAAAUCAGAAACAGCAUGAUAAUGAUGACUUGAGCCAUGAGGAAGACAUUUAUUACAUUUGAUUCAUUUGAUAUUUUGAUUGUCAGAAAAAAAUUUAUUGUUGAUUUAAAUACUAUCCGUUAAGAUAUAAAAUGUAUAUAUUCACAGCCUCUUUCUACUGGAUUAAAUUAAAUUGUCGGGAGCAUUUGAUUUAAAAAA